GGAUUAGCGUUAAUGACUACAAGACUUAAUUAGCCACUUGAUUAACUGACUUUAAAAUAAUCCACUUUAACGAGUAACAAAAAGUUCACCGGGGACAUUAGAUUAGGCUUUCUGAUGUUCACUGACACAUUCGGCCAAACCAGUUCUGCAGAUGCUGGAAAGCUCUGUAAACCUGUUCACUUUUUCUGAUAGGUUAUCAGUGUGAAAUGUAAAGUGUGGGUCUCCGGCAACAAACCGACAAAAAACAAAAGGCGCGCGCGCACAAACCCUAGCCGUUUGAAAAACAGUAAAAACGAAUUAGCGAUGCUAAACAUUUCUCUCAGUCGAAAUGUGUUAUCUUAAAAGCUUUUCGUUUCCGUAAUGGAUCAAAAAUAAUGUGUUUUCCCUAAAUCUCGUCAGGAGCUUUAAGUUUGAAAAGCCGCGGUGUGUCCCGUCUGGAGCCGCGUCGACGCCGGCUUCACAUUUUCUCUCUCAUUGAUCAGAAGUUGAGCCGCUUCUUUACGUUUUUCGAUCAUGUCUGCUGUUGAGUUCAUCAAAGACCUUUGUACUCCGGCGCUGAUCGUUGACCUGGAUAAAGUGAACAGAAACGCUGAAGGCAUGCUGGAGCGCUUCCACAAGCUAGGAGUUCAGCUCCGACCUCACAUGAAAACACACAAAACACUGCAAUGUGCGGACAUCAUGACAGGAGGCUCCCGUCGCUGUAUUGUUGUGUCCACUCUAGCCGAGGCAUCUUUCUACGCUGAUAACGGCUACGACGAUAUACUCUAUGCAUACCCUCUGCCAUUUGAUAAAGUGGAGCGCUGUGCCGAGCUGUCCGAGAAACUUUCUCUCUUCCACGUCGUGGUGGACAACCGCCUCGCCCUGCAGGAGCUGAAGAAGAGACCUCUGAAACGGGGAAAAGUCUGGAAGGUGUGGAUGAAACUGGACUGUGACAAUGGGAGAGCUGGUGUUCCUCAUUGUGACCCGACUGCACUGCAGCUUGCCCUGGACAUCUGGGAUACUUCAGGGGUGGAGCUGACGGGAAUUUACGCCCACUGCGGGAACACCUACGCCUGUCAGGGGGAGGAGCAAAUCAAAGCCGUCGCUCAGGAAACCACUACCAUUGUGCUACAGUUCAUGGAGAAGUUGAAGGCUGCUGGAAAACAAGGUGUCAAAUCCAGCAUUGGCUCCACCCCUUCCUGUAGCCACCCGGUCUCAGACAUGGCCAUGCUGAGUGAGGUGCAUCCUGGGAACUACAUAUUUUAUGAUGUGCAGCAGUCCCUCAUUGGGUCCUGUACACUCGAGGACGUUGCGGUACGGGUGCUGACACGGGUCAUAGGUCACUACCCACACAGGAAUCAGCUACUUGUAGAUUGUGGGUGGACGGCACUGAGUCAUGAUGGUGGGGGGCGCUUACCUACAGGAUACGCCGUCAUCGAAGGACACCCAGAACUCAAACUCCUGUCUAUGACUCAGGAACACGGCAGGGUGGAGCCCAUCUCUGGAAAACUGGACUUCAAGCAGUUCCCACUGGGGUCACUCCUCAAACUCAUGCCUUACCAUGUGAAUUACUAACCGUCUCCCUCAAAUAAAGCACACAGAAACACGCUGUAUUCAUCUGCAUGAAAGCGCAGUCUACAUCUGACUAAGCCAUCGCUUAUACAUCAGAAAUCGGUUUUCUUUCAGGACACUGAUUUGGACAUCAACACAGUAACAAAAAUGAUUGACCGAGUUUGAAAAUAUUGCGCAAGAAAUUUCAGCACAAACUUUGUUCAUCCUCAAUGUGUUGAGCGCACCUUUACCAUAGGCUUGUGCUACAGCUAUGAUGCAUCCGGUUUAUUUUGUCCAUUCUGAAGGGAAGAUUGUAGACGCCUGGAAACCCACCCGAGGCUGGUAACCGUUUCUAUCAGAGGGACUCCAGUACAGCUGGGGACUGCGGAUGGAAAUGUUUAGGUCUUGUAACAACUGUGGAUUUGCUGCACCUGCUUAUUAUAAAUCCAACUUAAGAAGUUUUCACCUUGACAAAAGUGUAAUGGUUUGAUUGAUGCAGCCCGCGCGGCUCACACUGGACUGAAAAAGAUUCUAGUUAAAACACUAAUGUUUACUUCACAUUUAGGAAGGAUUAUGAAAAUGUGAUUUUUAUUCUUUGAAUCUGACUGAGCUUGCAUGCGGUGCCUGAGUUUUGGAAAGAUCUGAAGUUCAAACUUUUUACGAGAUGUUAAUCUCAGUCUGUAAUAAAAUCAUUUAUCAUA